rnacentral:rRNA from 1 species
AGAGUUUGAUUCGGGCUCAGAUUGAACGCUGGCGGCAGGCUUAACACAUGCAAGUCGAGCGGCAGCGGAAAGAAGCUUGCUUCUUUGCCGGCGAGCGGCGGACGGGUGAGUAAUGUCUGGGGAUCUGCCCGAUGGAGGGGGAUAACUACUGGAAACGGUAGCUAAUACCGCAUAAUGUCGCAAGACCAAAGUGGGGGACCUUCGGGCCUCACACCAUCGGAUGAACCCAGAUGGGAUUAGCUAGUAGGUGGGGUAAUGGCUCACCUAGGCGACGAUCCCUAGCUGGUCUGAGAGGAUGACCAGCCACACUGGAACUGAGACACGGUCCAGACUCCUACGGGAGGCAGCAGUGGGGAAUAUUGCACAAUAGGGGAAACCCUGAUGCAGCCAUGCCGCGUGUGUGAAGAAGGCCUUCGGGUUGUAAAGCACUUUCAGCGGGGAGGAAGGCAAUGGCGUUAAUAGUGUCAUUGAUUGACGUUACCCGCAGAAGAAGCACCGGCUAACUCCGUGCCAGCAGCCGCGGUAAUACGGAGGGUGCGAGCGUUAAUCGGAAUUACUGGGCGUAAAGCGUACGCAGGCGGUCUGUUAAGUCAGAUGUGAAAUCCCCGGGCUUAACCUGGGAACUGCAUUUGAAACUGGCAGGCUAGAGUCUCGUAGAGGGGGGUAGAAUUCCAGGUGUAGCGGUGAAAUGCGUAGAGAUCUGGAGGAAUACCGGUGGCGAAGGCGGCCCCCUGGACGAAGACUGACGCUCAGGUACGAAAGCGUGGGGAGCAAACAGGAUUAGAUACCCUGGUAGUCCACGCUGUAAACGAUGUCGAUUUGAAGGUUGUGGUCUUGAGCCGUGGCUUUCGGAGCUAACGCGUUAAAUCGACCGCCUGGGGAGUACGGCCGCAAGGUUAAAACUCAAAUGAAUUGACGGGGGCCCGCACAAGCGGUGGAGCAUGUGGU